rnacentral:rRNA from 1 species
GACGAACGCUGGCGGCGUGCUUAACACAUGCAAGUCGAACGGAAAGGCCCUGCUUUUGUGGGGUGCUCGAGUGGCGAACGGGUGAGUAACACGUGAGUAACCUGCCCUUGACUUUGGGAUAACUUCAGGAAACUGGGGCUAAUACCGGAUAGGAGCUCCUGCUGCAUGGUGGGGGUUGGAAAGUUUCGGCGGUUGGGGAUGGACUCGCGGCUUAUCAGCUUGUUGGUGGGGUAGUGGCUUACCAAGGCGUUGACGGGUAGCCGGCCUGAGAGGGUGACCGGCCACAUUGGGACUGAGAUACGGCCCAGACUCCUACGGGAGGCAGCAGUGGGGAAUAUUGCACAAUGGGCGGAAGCCUGAUGCAGCAACGCCGCGUGCGGGAUGACGGCCUUCGGGUUGUAAACCGCUUUCGCCUGUGACGAAGCGUGAGUGACGGUACUGGGUAAAGAAGCACCGGCUAACUACGUG